rnacentral:rRNA from 1 species
UAAUUUACCUUCGGGUGGGGAACAACAGCCGGAAACGGCUGCUAAUACCGCAUAAUGCAGCGGCUCCUCAUGGAGACAGUUGUUAAAGCGGGGAUCGCAAGACCUCGCGCCUGAAGAGAAGCCCGCGGCAGAUUAGCUAGUUGGUAAGGUAAUGGCUUACCAAGGCAACGAUCUGUAACCGGCCUGAGAGGGCGGUCGGUCACACUGACACUGACAUACGGGUCAG